rnacentral:tRNA from 1 species
GGGAUUCAGCUCAGUUGGUAGAGUGCUUGCCUUGCAUGCACAAGGCCCUGGGUUCAAUCCCCAGUACCA